GUAGUCAUGGCCGAGUUGUUAAGGCUAUGGACUAGAAAUUUGUUGGGAUCUUUCCGCGUAGGUACGAAUCCUACCGACUACA